AGUAUAUAACCAUAAUACUCAAAUUAUGAGUCAACUUUGUAAUCUUUCUUACAUCUUUCUGUAUCAUGAGUACACCCCAAAAUAAGAAGCAUUGAAUACUAGAAGGAUAACACUAUAAAUAACAAGAUUAAUGAGAAUAUUCAAACUUGUAGUCAUUUCAAUUUGCCA